UGGGGGAUAUUGCACAAUGGGCGAAAGCCUGAUGCAGCGACGCCGCGUGGGGGAUGAAGGCUUUCGGGUUGUAAACCUCUUUCGCUAUCGAACAAGGCCCGCUUAGGGUGGGUUGAGGGUAGGUGGAGAAGACGCGCCGGCUAACUACGUGCCAGCAGCCGCGGUAAUACGUAGGGCGCGAGCGUUGUCCGGAAUUAUUGGGCGUAAAGGGCUUGUAGGCGGCUUGUUGCGCCUGCUGUGAAAACGCGGGGCUUAACUUCGCGCGUGCAGUGGGUACGGGCAGGCUUGAGUGUGGUAGAGGUGACUGGAAUUCCAGGUGUAGCGGUGAAAUGCGCAGAUAUCUGGAGGAACACCGGUGGCGAAGGCAGGUCACUGGGCCAUUACUGACGCUGAGGAGCGAAAGCAUGGGUAGCGAACAGG
rnacentral:rRNA from 1 species